AACGAACGCUGGCGGCAUGCCUAACACAUGCAAGUCGAACGAGACCUUCGGGUCUAGUGGCGCACGGGUGCGUAACGCGUGGGAACCUGCCCUUAGGUUCGGAAUAACUCCCCGAAAGGGGUGCUAAUACCGGAUAAUGUCUUCGGACCAAAGAUUUAUCGCCUUUGGAUGGGCCCGCGUUGGAUUAGCUAGUUGGUAGGGUAAAAGCCUACCAAGGCGACGAUCCAUAGCUGGUCUGAGAGGAUGAUCAGCCACACUGGGGCUGAGACACGGCCCAGACUCCUACGGGAGGCAGCAGUGGGGAAUAUUGGACAAUGGGCGUAAGCCUGAUCCAGCAAUGCCGCGUGAGUGAUGAAGGCCUUAGGGUUGUAAAGCUCUUUUACCCGGGAUGAUAAUGACAGUACCGGGAGAAUAAGCUCCGGCUAACUCCGUG
rnacentral:rRNA from 1 species